GACGAACGCUGGCGGCGUGCCUAAUACAUGCAAGUAGAACGCACAGUUUAUACCGUAGCUUGCUACACCAUAAACUGUGAGUUGCGAACGGGUGAGUAACGCGUAGGUAACCUGCCUGGUAGCGGGGGAUAACUAUUGGAAACGAUAGCUAAUACCGCAUAAUAUUAAUUAUUGCAUGAUAAUUGAUUGAAAGAUGCAAUUGCAUCACUACCAGAUGGACCUGCGUUGUAUUAGCUAGUAGGUGAGGUAACGGCUCACCUAGGCGACGAUACAUAGCCGACCUUGGAGGGUGGUCGGCCACACUGGGACUGAGACACGGCCCAGACUCCUACGGGAGGCAGCAGUAGGGAAUCUUCGGCAAUGGACGAAAGUCUGACCGAGCAACGCCGCGUGAGUGAAGAAGGUUUUCGGAUCGUAAAGCUCUGUUGUAAGAGAAGAACGGGUGUGAGAGUGGAAAGUUCACACUGUGACGGUAUCUUACCAGAAAGGGACGGCUAACUACGUG
rnacentral:rRNA from 1 species